rnacentral:rRNA from 1 species
CCUACGGGAGGCUGCAGUAGGGAAUAUUGCUCAAUGGGGGAAACCCUGAAGCAGCAACGCCGCGUGGAGGAUGAAGGUUUUCGGAUUGUAAACUCCUUUUGUUAGAGAAGAUAAUGACGGUAUCUAACGAAUAAGCACCGGCUAACUCCGUGCCAGCAGCCGCGGUAAUACGGAGGGUGCAAGCGUUACUCGGAAUCAAUGGGCGUAAAGAGAGCGUAGGCGGGAUAGCAAGUCAGAUGUGAAAUCCUAUGGCUUAACCAUAGAACUGCAUUUGACACUGUUCUUCUAGAGUAUGGGAGAGGUAGGUGGAAUUCUUGGUGUAUGGGUAAAAUCCGUAGAGAUCAAGAGGAAUACUCAUUGCGAAGGCGACCUGCUAGAACAUAACUGACGCUGAUGCGCGAAAGCGUGGGGAGCAAACAGGAUUAGAUACCCUUGUAGUC